UACGUAGGGUGCGAGCGUUGUCCGGAAUUAUUGGGCGUAAAGAGCUCGUAGGCGGUCUGUCGCGUCUGCUGUGAAAACUCAGGGCUUAACCCUGAGCUUGCAGUGGGUACGGGCAGACUAGAGUACGAGAAGGGGCAACUGGAAUUCUCGGUGUAGCGGUGAAAUGCGGUAGAUAUCGAGAGGAACACCUGCGGCGAAGGCGGGUUGCUGGCUGAUGACUGACGCUGAGGCGCGAAAGCUAGGGGAGCGAACGGG
rnacentral:rRNA from 1 species